rnacentral:rRNA from 1 species
AUGAUCCGUUUUCACCCACAUGAUUUUCUGAAUUGUUUUUUGGAUGGUGGUCGGCAGCCCAUCCCCUAUCAGAAGAGAAGAGAGAGGCGGAGGCGGUGGACGGGGGUCACCACCGUCGGUGAGCAGCGGCAAGGGGUUAGCUGGAGGUCAUGGAGCGCGGGAAGCUGCCGCAGCACAACCCUGGGAAGUUGGAGCCUAGCUGUCGUGGAGGAGCAGGGGGGAAGGAGAGAGGGAGGUACUGAGAAGAGGGCGGCGGAGAUAUUUUGCCAGUCCCGCCACCAGCAAGGUUUCGCCGGUGAUGUCGGAACCGUUCGUCGGCGCCGUUCGAGCCGGAGGGUUGUGGAUUCUUGGGGGCAGAGAUCAUCGAGUGGAUGCUAUGAACCCAACUACGACCCUAAUGACAGUCCCCCAAACACUGAGAGUUGUGAUGAGAGCAUUGCAUAUAGUGAUGAAGAAUCUGUAUCUAGGAGGAAGAAGUUAUUAGAAGAUGCUUUAUUUGUUUUUUUAGGAAGGAGGCAAUCAAAUCACUCGAGAUUUUCCAAAAUUCUGGAAGAAUGUCGACCUUAA